CGAGUCUGCCUUGAAGAUCGGAGUGCUUGCACUCUGUGAAACAAGAUACAGGAGUAGCGGCGGACGGGUGAGUAACACGUGGGUAACCUGCCCAAGAGAUCGGGAUAACACCUGGAAACAGAUGCUAAUACCGGAUAACAACAGAUGAUGCCUAUCAACUGUUUAAAAGAUGGUUCUGCUAUCACUCUUGGAUGGACCUGCGGUGCAUUAGCUAGUUGGUAGGGUAACGGCCUACCAAGGCGAUGAUGCAUAGCCGAGUUGAGAGACUGAUCGGCCACAUUGGGACUGAGACACGGCCCAAACUCCUACGGGAGGCAGCAGUAGGGAAUCUUCCACAAUGGACGCAAGUCUGAUGGAGCAACGCCGCGUGAGUGAAGAAGGGUUUCGGCUCGUAAAGCUCUGUUGUUGGUGAA
rnacentral:rRNA from 1 species